AGCUGGAGCUGGAGCCGGAGCCGCUGUUUGGCCUAUGUUCGAGCAGAUCGAGGUCGCUUCUGCGCGCUGCAGCGCGACUCGUGUGGCGUUCCUGGAUCUUGGCGAUCGAGCAAUUCGCGCCUGCGUUCAGCGCGACGACUUCCCGGAGAAAUCCCCCCGUGAGCAGUGCUCCGAGUUCAACGCAGUACUUGCAACUAUUCAUGCUCACGGGCAAUCGCAGAUAGACGCCGGCAGUGACCCCAGGGUACACCAGGUCCGACGGGUCUAUCUCUGGGAGACGGCUUGUCUGCAGUAUGCCGAAAGCUUCGCGCCAAACAUAGACACCGCUCUGGUUAAUGGAAAUCGUCUGGUGAACGGGAGCAAGCAUGAUAUCCGGAUCCCCGGUCCCAAUGAUUGACGUCUCAACUGUGACGAGGACACUCGAUCCACCUAGGAAGUAGUGUGGUGCCAGAAGCGAGCCCCAUGGAGCGAUCGAGAGUUUCGGUUUGUCCUUCUCGAGCGCGAGCACGUCGCGAAGCAGGUUCACGGACCCGAAGCCCCCGGGAUCGCGCUCCAAAAACGCAAUCACAUUCCUGAGACCAGCGUCCGGCGUUCGUCCAUGAGCGGGCCUGUAUGUCGUGAACGCAUCCACAAGGUCUCGCGCGAACAGAAUCCCAUCGACGGACUGGUCGGUUUUACGCACGUGCGACCACGUCUGGUUCAGCGAGUACAUCGAUAUUCGUUUUGCUGACGAGAUGCAAAGAUUCAGAUGCGCGCCAACGUAAAUGACCCGCUCAAUGCCUCGUCCUUCGAGGACAGCAACGAGCUCCACGAGAUCGUCGGCAACGAGAACAUCAUUCUCGGGAUCCACGUCCAGGAGCGGGUGCAGGGCCGACCAACCGUACUGCUCCUCGCAUCGUUCUUGCGGGUCCGCCGAGCACAUGCAGCCGGCAGGCCGGGGUAGGACGCGAGUGCGUCUCGCCGCCUCGUACGCCAUGUCCACGAUGCUGGUGGUAGCACGUAGGGCGUCCAGCUUAGCUCUUGUCGUGUAGCGUCGGGCGUUAUCCCGCAUGCGCCGCUCUCCGGCAUUGCCUCGUUGCUCUAGAAAUGCGACGAUGUCUGUGGGGGCAUGGAUGACCAGCAUGCCACGUUUCCGCGCCUCUCGGAGAGCAAGAUUCAACGGUGGAAUAAGCAACCGCUCUAUUCUGGAUGCUGCGGUCUUGCACCAGUGGGUGUCCCACAGGUCGACUACAAUCAAUGCCAUCCGAUCGUAGCGCUCCUGUACAUAAUGCUCUCGUGCGAUAAUGUUCGGGUUCGAGGCCACACCCCAGCCAUCGUCUGCGAACCAUGUCGCGUCCAUUGCGGUUGCCAUUGGGUCGCUCGCUGGGCCCGGCAUCCCAGAGGCCAGUCUUGCAGUAUCCACGAACGACUGUCGCAGCGCACGGCGGCGAACAGGAAAUGUGGCUAUGCGCCUUGGAUAGAGCAGCGGCGCCUGCUCGUCAUCCAGCAGCGCUGUGUGAUGAGACAAGUCUUGCGACCAGUACGCAGCGUGGACGGCUUUCAUCAGCCCCGCGGUACCUGAUCUCGAAGCAUCAACUGCAUCCGCAAAGUCGUAAACG
rnacentral:misc_RNA from 1 species